UACACAUUUGCUGUUGUCCUCCGGCGUGU
rnacentral:piRNA from 1 species